AGCGCAUGUGUUGUGAGCUCGAUGAGUAGGGCGGGACACGUGGUAUCCUGUCUGAAUAUGGGGGGACCAUCCUCCAAGGCUAAAUACUCCUGACUGACCGAUAGUGAACCAGUACCGUGAGGGAAAGGCGAAAAGAACCCCGGCGAGGGGAGUGAAAAAGAACCUGAAACCGUGUACGUACAAGCAGUGGGAGCACCCUUUGGGGUGUGACUGCGUACCUUUUGUAUAAUGGGUCAGCGACUUAUAUUCUGUAGCAAGGUUAACCGAAUAGGGGAGCCGGAGGGAAACCGAGUCUUAAUUGGGCGUUAAGUUGCAGGGUAUAGACCCGAAACCCGGUGAUCUAGCCAUGGGCAGGUUGAAGGUUGGGUAACACUAACUGGAGGACCGAACCGACUAAUGUUGAAAAAUUAGCGGAUGACCUGUGGCUGGGGGUGAAAGGCCAAUCAAACCGGGAGAUAGCUGGUUCUCCCCGAAAGCUAUUUAGGUAGCGCCUCGUGAAUUCAUCUCCGGGGGUAGAGCACUGUUUCGGCUAGGGGGCCAUCCCGGCUUACCAACCCGAUGCAAACUGCGAAUACCGGAGAAUGUUAUCACGGGAGACACACGGCGGGUGCUAACGUCCGUCGUGAAGAGGGAAACAACCCAGACCGCCAGCUAAGGUCCCAAAGUCAUGGUUAAGUGGGAAACGAUGUGGGAAGGCCCAGACAGCCAGGAUGUUGGCUUAGAAGCAGCCAUCAUUUAAAGAAAGCGUAAUAGCUCACUGGUCGAGUCGGCCUGCGCGGAAGAUGUAACGGGGCUAAACCAU
rnacentral:rRNA from 1 species